rnacentral:rRNA from 1 species
GUCGAACGCUGGCGGCGUGCCUAAUACAUGCAAGUCGAACGCAGUGGGGACGGGUGAGUAACAAGUGGGUAACCUACCAUCAGAGGGGAUAAAACUUGGCAACAGGUGCAAAACCGCAACUGGUGGAUGGACCCGGGUUGCAUUAGCUAGUUGGAGAGGUAGCGGCUCACCAAGGCCACGAUGCAUAGCUGACAUGAGAGGAUGAUCGGCCACACUGGAACUGAGACACGGCCCAGACUACUACGGGAGGCAGCAGUGGGGAAUAUUCGGCAAUGGGCGAAAGUCUGACCGAGCAACGCCGCGUGAGUGAAGAAGGUUGUCGGAUCGUAAAGCUCUGUUGUCAGGGAAGCGUUACCCAACCAGAAAGCCACGGCUAACUACGUGCCAGCAGCCGCGGUAAUUC